AUUGAACGCUGGCGGCAGGCUUAACACAUGCAAGUCGAACGAGUAGCGGACGGGUGAGUAAUGCUUGGGAAUCUGGCUUAUGGAGGGGGAUAACUACGGGAAACUGUAUCUAAUACCGCGUACCAUAGGAUGCGCCCACGUGGGAUUAGGUAGUUGGGGAGGUAAAGGCUCACCAAGCCGACGAUCUCUAGCUGGUCUGAGAGGAUGACCAGCCACACCGGGACUGAGACACGGCCCAGACUCCUACGGGAGGCAGCAGGGGGGAAGCUGCCGCAAUGGACGAAAGUUGACGGAGCAACGACGCGUGAGUGAUUACGGCCUUCGGGUUGUAAAGCUCUGUUAAUCGGGACGCGGUACCGGAAUAGAAAGCCACGGCUAACUACGUGCCAGCAGCCGCGGUAAUUC
rnacentral:rRNA from 1 species